rnacentral:lncRNA from 1 species
CUCAAACACGACAAGAUUCAGUGGCAGCUUUCAGUUUUGGGCACGUCAAGCCUGGCACUUCCAUCCAGCUGCAAUGACUGGUAUGCAAAUGCGCGAGUAAUGACUCCCAGAAUGCUACUUACACUUACGUAGGUGCAAAAUUUCAUUCACAUUUCUUUUGAAGACACUCUAAACUUUCCGCUGACUGAUUAUGAUUUGGAUCUUCAUCACAACGAAAUCCCAGGAAAAUAGCUUGAAAAGUUUAACCAUUUGGGUGGGGAAAGUUCACGACUUCUCAUCCACUUCUCCAACUCAUCACUCAGCCAAAAAGCCUUCUAGUGCUUGCACAAUUUCAUACGACACUUUUUCACGGAGCCUGUUGCACAAGGCUUGUGCAGUCCCGUUGCUCUGCUCUCUUUCUCUCCACUUGCUUAACAUCAGAAAUUUCUGGAUAUUGACUACCUCUUCAUUUGCUUGAAUCUGCUGAAUGUCUUUCAUUUCCAUCUGAAGGCACUCAAUGGCAAUUUCUU